UAGCCACGCUCCAGACUGUCUGUGGAUUGCACUGUGAACAGACACCAUCCGCCCACCGCUGAGGCUGGGGUGGGUGUGAAGGGACUGCAGCCUCGAAGCAGGUUCACUGACUAAAAAACCUCCCCUACGAUCAAAGCCCAGUCGCUAUUUGAAGGUUAUGGAGCUGCUGCUGCAGCGGCAGCAUGGGACGAGUCUCUGAAUGGUAACAAGCUUUAUUCAUUUUUUUUUUGAUUCUCGCCGUUGCCAGGGCGACGGGGAUGAUCAGAGCCACAAUGGAGCUACAAAUGUGUACUGCACAGUUGCGAUGAUGGAGGGCUUGAUAGAGGGCAACGCUCCCUAAAACCGCGAUAUAACAGUCACGAUGAACUAUUUUUCUGGGUUCAGCCAACAACGUCUCGUCUCCGAGUCAAAAGAUCGAGCAUCCGAGCUACACUCCAGGAACUGAACACAUGCCCCAACCAGGGACUCACAGUAUCAUUUGAAAGCAAGGUGUUAUCUUUCAGAUUAGCUGUUGAAUCAAGGAGCGAUCUGCUUGCUGAGCCAAAUGUAAAAGAUCCCAUGGCGUUACCUGAAGAAGGAGAUUGAAUUCUCAUGGUAUCUUGGCCAAUGUCCAUCCGUCAAAUAGACAGAUAGUCGGACAAUUUACUCACUUGGGACUUUCAGCGUGAAAAGCAGCCCUGCUUUAUCUCUGGCAUAUCGUGACGGCAGUUGAAGAAUUGCCCAAUUUCAGCCCUUUAUCUGGAUGGUUCAAAGAGUUUACAUGGCAUUCAUCUCAUGUUUCGCUUGGGCAGCUUACAACCCAGCGGUAUGAAUAUUGACUUCUCCAACUUCCAAGUAACCCUUGCUUUCCCACUCUCUCCAUCCCUCCCCCACCCUAGUUCUCCGACUAGUUUCACUGUCCACCUGAUUAAUUUAACUGAUUGGACGCCUCAUUGUCACCUUCCCCUCAGCUAACGAUGGACCUUUCUACAUCUCCCUUGAUCACCGUCCGCUUUGAUCUGCCCUUUUCACACCUCUCCCUUACGUGUCUCUAGACUCCCUCUCCCCUGAAUUCGAGAUUCCAGCUACCAAGGCAGAUGUGUACAGCAAUUCGUUCUUCCCCCGCACAAUUAGAGCAUGGAAUAAU